rnacentral:tRNA from 1 species
GCCCUCAUCGUCUAGUGGUCCAGGACAUCUCUCUUUCAAGGAGGCAGCGGGGAUUCGACUUCCCCUGGGGGUA